UCCGUAGGCGGACUAAUAAGUCAGGGGUGAAAUCCAACAGCUUAACUGUUGAACUGCCUUUGAUACUGUUAGUCUUGAAUUAUAUGGAAGUAGAUAGAAUGUGUAGUGUAGCGGUGAAAUGCUUAGAGAUUACACAGAAUACCGAUUUCGAAGGCAGUCUACUACGUAUAUAUUGACGCUAAUGGACGAAAGCGUGGGGAGCGAACAGGAUUAGAUACCCUGGUAGUCC
rnacentral:rRNA from 1 species